rfam:Stegodyphus mimosarum contig80814, whole genome shotgun sequence.
GCCUUCGUGGUGUAGUGGUCAGCACGCUUGAGGCGUAAUCGAGAGGUCCGUGGUUCGAGUCCCGGCCAGGGCA